rnacentral:rRNA from 1 species
GCACAAGCGGUGGAGCAUGUGGUUUAAUUCGAUGAUACGCGAGGAACCUUACCUGGGCUAGAAUGCAGUCUGACCGUGGGUGAAAGCUCAUUUUGUAGCAAUACACAGAUUGUAAGGUGCUGCAUGGCCGUCGUCAGCUCGUGCCGUGAGGUGUUGGGUUAAGUCCCGCAACGAGCGCAACCCCCAUCAGUAGUUGCCAUCAGGUAACGCUGGGAACUCUACUGAAACUGCCGUCGUAAGACGCGAGGAAGGAGGGGAUGAUGUCAGGUCAUCAUGGCCUUUAUGCCCAGGGCUACACACGUGCUACAAUGGGAAGGACAAAGAGCUGCCACCUGGCGACAGGGCGCUAAUCUCAAAAACCUUCUCUCAGUUCAGAUUGGAGUCUGCAACUCGACUCCAUGAAGCUGGAAUCGCUAGUAAUCGUAGAUCAGCAACGCUACGGUGAAUACGUUCCCGGGC